rnacentral:rRNA from 1 species
GAUGAACGCUGGCGGCGUGCCUAAUACAUGCAAGUCGAGCGAACGGACGAGAAGCUUGCUUCUCUGAUGUUAGCGGCGGACGGGUGAGUAACACGUGGAUAACCUACCUAUAAGACUGGGAUAACUUCGGGAAACCGGAGCUAAUACCGGAUAAUAUUUUGAACCGCAUGGUUCAAAAGUGAAAGACGGUCUUGCUGUCACUUAUAGAUGGAUCCGCGCUGCAUUAGCUAGUUGGUAAGGUAACGGCUUACCAAGGCAACGAUGCAUAGCCGACCUGAGAGGGUGAUCGGCCACACUGGAACUGAGACACGGUCCAGACUCCUACGGGAGGCAGCAGUAGGGAAUCGUCCGCAAUGGGCGAAAGCCUGACGGAGCAACGCCGCGUGAGUGAUGAAGGUCUUCGGAUCGUAAAACUCUGUUAUUAGGGAAGAACAUAUGUGUAAGUAACUGUGCACAUCUUGACGGUACCUAAUCAGAGAGCCACGGCUAACUACGUG